AUUGAACGCUGGCGGCAGGCCUAACACAUGCAAGUCGAGCGGAUGACGGGAGCUUGCUCCUUGAUUCAGCGGCGGACGGGUGAGUAAUGCCUAGGAAUCUGCCUGGUAGUGGGGGACAACGUUUCGAAAGGAACGCUAAUACCGCAUACGUCCUACGGGAGAAAGCAGGGGACCUUCGGGCCUUGCGCUAUCAGAUGAGCCUAGGUCGGAUUAGCUAGUAGGUGAGGUAAUGGCUCACCUAGGCGACGAUCCGUAAAUGGUCUGAGAGGAUGAUCAGUCACACUGGAACUGAGACACGGUCCAGGCUCCUACGGGAGGCAGCAGUGGGAAAGCCUGAUCCAGCCAUGCCGCGUGUGUGAAGAAGGUCUUCUGAUUGUAAAGCACUUUAAGUUGGGAGGAAGGGCAGUAAGCUAAUACCUUGCUGUUUUGACGUUACCGACAGAAUAAGCACCGGCUAACUCUGUGCCAGCCGCCGCCGUAAAAC
rnacentral:rRNA from 1 species